AGAGUUUGAUCCUGGCUCAGAACGAACGCUGGCGGCGUGCCUAACACAUGCAAGUCGAACGGAGGUAGCAAUACCUUAGUGGCGCACGGGUGAGUAAUGCAUGGGAGAUCUGCCCUACGGAGAUGGAUAGCUACGGGAAACUGUAAUUAAUACGUCGUAAGCAGUAGUCUAGAGAGAGAUUACUGGAAAGGCUGGGACCGCAAGGCCAGUCGCCGAAGGAUGAGCCCAUGUCCCAUUAGCUUGUUGGUAGGGUAAAAGCCUACCAAGGCGAAGAUGGGUAACUGGUCUGAGAGGAUGAUCAGUCACACUGGAACUGAGACACGGUCCAGACUCCUACGGGAGGCAGCAGUGGGGAAUAUUGCGCAAUGGACGAAAGUCUGACGCAGCAACGCCGCGUGAGUGAAGAAGGCCUUUGGGUUGUAAAGCUCUUUCGGCCGGGAAGAAGGGUGAUGGUGUUAAUAGCAUUAUCAUUUGAUGGUACCGGAAGAAGAAGCACCGGCUAACUUCGUGCCAGCAGCCGCGGUAAUACGAAGGGUGCGAGCGUUGUUCGGAAUUACUGGGCGUAAAGGGCUUGUAGGCUGAAAGAUAAGUCAAGUGUGAAAUCCCCGAGCUAAACUUGGGACGUGCAUUUGAAACUGUUUUUCUUGAGUAUCGUAGAGGGUGGUGGAAUUGUAGGUGUAGGAGUGACAUCCGUAGAGAUCUGCAGGAACAUCAGAGGCGAAGGCGACCACCUGGCCGAUUACUGACGCUGAGGAACGAAAGCGUGGGGAGCAAACAGGAUUAGAUACCCUGGUAGUCCACGCCGUAAACGAUGAUAACUAGGUGUUGGAAGAAUUGACCCUUUCAGUACCGUAGCACACGCGCUAAGUUAUCCGCCUGGGGAGUACGACCGCAAGGUU
rnacentral:rRNA from 1 species